rnacentral:rRNA from 1 species
CGUAGGGUGCGAGCGUUAAUCGGAAUUACUGGGCGUAAAGCGUGCGCAGGCGGUUUGUUAAGAUAGGCGUGAAAUCCCCGGGCUCAACCUGGGAACUGCGCUUAUGACUGGCAAGCUAGAGUACGGCAGAGGGGGGUGGAAUUCCACGUGUAGCAGUGAAAUGCGUAGAGAUGUGGAGGAACGCCAAUGGCGAAGGCAGCCCCCUGGGUCGAUACUGACGCUCAUGCACGAAAGCGUGGGUAGCAAACAGGAUUAGAUACCCUGGUAGUCCACGCCCUAAACGAUGUCAACUAGGUGUUGGGAGGGUAAAACCUUUUAGUACCGGAGCUAACGCGUGAAGUUGACCGCCUGGGGAGUACGGCCGCAAGGUUA